CCAAUAGCGUAUAUUAAAGUUGUUGCAGUUAAAAAGCUCGUAGUUGAAUUUCGGGAUCAAUACGUCGGUCGUGCCUCGGUACGUACUAACGAUAUUGAUUUCUCCCUUCUGACGAACCGUGAUGUCAUUAAUUUGGUGUUACGGGGAGUUAGGACUGUUACUUUGAAAAAAUUAGAGUGUUUAAAGCAGGCAAUCGCUCGAAUACAUUAGCAUGGAAUAAUGAAAUAGGACGUUCGAACCUAUUUUGUUGGUUUCUAGGAUCGACGUAAUGAUUAAUAGGGAUAGUUGGGGGCAUUAGUAUUCAAUUGUCAGAGGUGAAAUUCUUGGAUUUAUUGAAGACUAACUACUGCGAAAGCAUUUGCCAAGGAUGUUUUCAUUAAUCAAGAACGAAAGUUAGGGGAUCGAAGACGAUCAGAUACCGUCGUAGUCUUAACCAUAAACUAUGCCGACUAGGGAUCGGAUGAUGUUAAUUUUUUAAUGACUCAUUCGGCGCCUUACG
rnacentral:rRNA from 1 species